GUGAAUCAUCGAAUCUUUGAACGCAAAUUGCACUCUCUGGUAUUCCGGAGAGUAUGCCUGUUUGAGGGUCAUUUUAAAUAAAAACCGGAGUGGUUGCUGCCUUUCGUGGUGACGCACCGGAUUUGGGUCGUCUUGCCUUCGGUUAGGUGACCUACAAUUUUGCAUGAGUUUUUUCGAACGUAUUUAAAUGACUUUACAUACGUUUGCGAAAUCGAAUACUCGGUGUGGUCAUCUUCAUGAAUAGUGCCGU
rnacentral:misc_RNA from 1 species